rnacentral:lncRNA from 1 species
CCUAAGCAAAAGAGGUUUCUAGGGCUUAUACAUGGAAGUAUGACUUAAGCACCUAAUUUGGAGAAGUGAUCAACAUGAACAUUGUUACUAAGGUUGAGUUAAGCGUAGAUAAACUAAUUACCAAAGCUUAACACAAAAGCAUGAGCAUGGUUCACACAAACACAAGCAUAGGAAUCAUGAUUAAACAAGUUAAAGCACACUUAAGCAUAAAAUGACAUGGCUCA